rnacentral:lncRNA from 1 species
UUUUGUCAAACUUUGUUUGACCUUGUUGAACUUGGGAUAAUUCACUUGGACUUUUCAAAGUUGAUUUGAAGUGAGUUUUAAGUUUGACCUUUCUUUAUUAUUUUAAUUCAAGUAAUUUUUUGUCAAACUUUGUUUGACCUUGUUGAACUUGGGAUAAUUCACUUGGACUUUUCAAAGUUGAUUUGAAGUGAGUUUUAAGUUUGACCUUUCUUUAUUAUUUUAAUUCAAGUUUUAUUUUAAUAUU